UAUCAUAUCAUUUUCUUACAUAAAGAGUCCAAAAAAAAGCGGCGCGUUUGCGAUAGUUUGCUCUCUCAUGGCGCGUGGUCUUCCAGGGGUUUAUAGCCAUUUCCUCUGUAAAACAAAAACCCUAGAAAUCAAAUCAGUGACGAUGGUGUUGAGAAGCCUAACCAAUUAUUCGAAAACUUCACCAUCGUUAAACCACAAAUUGAGAUGGAUAUCGAGCUUGAAAGUGGUGUGGAAGAAGGACACGAAGCUGGACGAAGCCAUCGAGCGGGACAAGCGCUACAACCUCUGCGCUCGCGUCGUCAAAG
rnacentral:lncRNA from 1 species